rnacentral:rRNA from 1 species
UACGGGGGGAGCAAGCGUUGUUCGGAUUUACUGGGCGUAAAGGGCGCGUAGGCGGCCACCGCAAGUCGACUGUGAAAUCUCCGGGCUUAACUCGGAAAGGUCAGCCGAUACUGCGGGGCUAGAGUGCAGAAGGGGCAACUGGAAUUCUCGGUGUAGCGGUGAAAUGCGUAGAUAUCGAGAGGAACACCUGCGGCGAAGGCGGGUUGCUGGGCUGACACUGACGCUGAUUGUGCGAAAGCUAGGGGAGCGAACAGG